rnacentral:sRNA from 1 species
GCCUGGCAUGGUGGCGCGUGCCUGUAAUCCCAGCUACUCAGGAGGCUGAGGCAGGAGAAUUGCUUGAACCCAGGAGGCAGAGGUUGCAGUGAGCUGAGACCGUACCACUGUACUCCUGCCUGGGUGACAGAACGAGACUCUGUCUCAA